AGCAGCCGCGGUAAUUCCAGCUCCAAUAGCGUAUAUUAAAGUUGCUGCAGUUAAAAAGCUCGUAGUUGAAUUUCGGGAUCAAUAUGUUGGUCGUGCCUCGGUACGUACUAGCUUAUUGGUUUCUCCCUUCUGACGAACCAUGAUGUCAUUUAUUUGGUGUUAUGGGAAAUCAGGACUGUUACUUUGAAAAAAUUAGAGUGUUUAAAGCAGGCUCACGCUUGAAUACAUUAGCAUGGAAUAAUGAAAUAGGACGUUUGAUUCUAUUUUGUUGGUUUCUAGGAUCGACGUAAUGAUUAAUAGGGAUAGUUGGGGGCAUUAGUAUUCAAUUGUCAGAGGUGAAAUUCUUGGAUUUAUUGAAGACUAACUACUGCGAAAGCAUUUGCCAAGGAUGUUUUCAUUAAUCAAGAACGAAAGUUAGGGGAUCGAAGACGAUCAGAUACCGUCGUAGUCUUAACCAUAAACUAUGCCGACUAGGGAUCGGAUGAUG
rnacentral:misc_RNA from 1 species